rnacentral:rRNA from 1 species
AUUGAACGCUGGCGGCAUGCCUUACACAUGCAAGUCGAACGGCAGCACGGGGCAACCUGGUGGCGAGUGGCGAACGGGUGAGUAAUGCAUCGGAACGUGCCAUUGAGUGGGGGAUAACGUAGCGAAAGUUGCGCUAAUACCGCAUAUUCUGUGAGCAGGAAAGCAAGGGGACCGCAAGGCCUUGCGCUCUUUGAGCGGCCGAUGUCAGAUUAGCUAGUUGGUGAGGUAACGGCUUACCAAGGCGACGAUCUGUAGCGGGUCUGAGAGGAUGAUCCGCCACACUGGAACUGAGACACGGUCCAGACUCCUACGGGAGGCAGCAGUGGGGAAUUUUGGACAAUGGGCGCAAGCCUGAUCCAGCCAUGCCGCGUGAGUGAAGAAGGCCUCGG